UGUUACUAUCUCUUUGUUCAAAAUACUUCAAUUCAAAGGAAAGAAAGAAAACUAAUGCAUUAUUUUUAAAUGGUCUUAUUUUCCCUCCUUGUUUUAAGAAAAAAAUACAUUGCAGAACUGCAACAUUUAUAGUCUAUUUGAGACAUGGAACAAACAAAAAAACUUAUACAAUAAUUUUCAUCUGAAAAAUGCAUUUUUGGUUUUCAAGUCAUGAGGACAAAUGUAUUUUGUCUUUACAGAGACAGGGUUUAUUUUGUCUUUACAGAGACAGGGUAAGCGAAACAACAUUAACUCUGAAUAUUUCCUUCAUUUUUGAUCAUAAUUGAAUUGCUUAUCAAUAGGUUAUCCAUACGAUUCCAAUACAACAUCACAAUUUUAAUACCAGUUCUCAUUCGUGUUCCAACUAAUGAAAAUAAAGAAGAAAAAAAAAAAAAAAAAAAAAUAAUCAUGUUUUUCUUUUACAAAAAAUAAAAAUACAAAAAACAGACACAGAAACAAAUCAGUCAAAAUCUACAGAAAAUUGUAAAUGUAUAAUUAUACUUUGGGAUAGACAGCAUAUUGGCUUUGUUUUCAUCUUUGGAAUGAAGCUUUUGCUUAGAAUAUUCAACCACUACCACACAGUCGAGCCUGAUCCCAGAUCUGUCCGUGCUGUAUAUCUAACUCCUACGGUGGUUGUCACACAAACUGACCUGGAACCAGGCUUCUCAACCACCUCCUGUGAGGUCAUCCUUUCCAGGUGUAAUUUAGCCAUUGUCGUCAGAUUGUAACAACACCUUGCCUUUGGUUUAGAAAACACUCCUCUCUAAGUACCCCUUUUCACACUAUCAUGCCGACCUGAACAAAACCGGGUCAGUACAGUAUGGCUCGGCUCAGUUCGGUUCGGCUCAGUGGUGUGAAAAGGCUUUAUAUAAGACCCUUACUGAGCCAACGUACAUGUAUGUAUCAAGCAUAGACACAUUAAGAGAAUCCAACUGUGGAGAGUGAGAUUGAUGGAUCAAAGUUAAAAGUUAUUGUUCAAUAUUCUCAUGUUCUACUAAAUGAACGAGUGAUUUGAUUCAUCAAGGUUAUUUUGGUUAUCAUCACACUGACCUCUGAACUCUAACCCCCUGUGGUCGUCGGACUGUCUGACCCUUCUCCUACGACCCCCUGAGGUAGGUUAGUGGCCUUGCUGUAGAUCUCUUUAUGUGUGGUUUAAUUAUUAUUAUUAUUUUUUUAAAUUAUUAACCCAGUGAGGACCAGAGUAACAGUACAAUCACUUCAUCCUAAACUCAUUUGUGGUAUUUUAAUCAGACACUGAUUGGGUGCUGCUGUCUAAUAAGAGGGUUUUAUUUGUCAGUUAGCUAAGUGGAAGGUCAAAGAGAGGCAUAGAUUGUCAGGCACAGUGCCUUCAGUGACAUCAUUAAGUUGAGUCUUUUUUCCGUAAUAUUCUUUGAAAGAUGUAUUUUUUUCCUACUGUGUUUUCAGGUCUAUUGUUGUUGGUCAAAAUACUACAUGGUUUGUCCAUCGAUGUCAAAUUCUGCGCUGUGUAAGUUACUAUACGAAGGCUAUUAUCAAAGUUGUGGACUACUGUCUCAAAAUGGGUCUCAGAACAGGUUUUCGACUCAUUCUAUUUAUAUCUCAUCUGUCACUCUUUGACAGUAUGUUAACAGUUAGCCUUGUGUUAGCCUUGUGCAGUAUGUUAUUAACAGUUAGCCUUGUGUUCAUAACCUUCUACUCAGAAUAUGGACGCUUCAGCUAAUUCACUUAUUACCCAAAGGGUACACUAUGACAGUGGAGGGUCAAUAUAUACACAACUGAGCCACACUCUCAGCAACCACAUGCAGUCCAUAGAGUGGUACGGGAUUCUGAACUUAAAAAGUAAUGAAGUCACAAUGCAUUACACUGCUAGCUAAUUGUAAAUAUACUCAUGCAUAAAAUCUGGGCUAUAGCACUGUUGUUUGGCAGUUGCUAAACAUAAUGCUACACUUCAACACAGAAGAAUAGGACAUAAGACAAAGAAGGAAACAUUUACAAAAUGGUGGUCAGAAACUAGGUCGUAAGACAAAGAAGGAAACAUUUACAAAAUGGUGGUCAGAAACUAGGUCGUAAGACAAAGAAGGAAACAUUUACAAAAUGGUGGUCAGAAACUAGGUCAUAAGACAAAGAAGGAAACAUUUACAAAAUGGUGGUCAGAAACUAGGUCAUAAGAACGGGGGGGUUUUUCUCUUUUUUUUCCUAUUUUUUUUUUUACAUUGUAACAUGUAAACUGUGGGCUUAAUCUGCAAUUAUCCUCAUUACAGAAAGCUGAGUGAAUAACCGGAGCCCCUCCAACAACAACAAAAAAAUAAAACCAGAAACAAUUAAAAACCCAAACCACAAAAAAGACAAGCAUUUGUUUUUGGUAAGCGCACCUCUUCAACUAUUACAGAAAUCACAACUUAAAAUGUAUCAAGAUUUUUUUUGGUUUUUUUUUUGUCUCGUAAAGUCACACAGUUACCAAAAUAAUAAUUUAUUACAUAUGCUAGAAUAACAUUACCCUAACCACUAGUAUCUCUGAGGUAUAUCUGAAAACAUUAAGGAGAGCACGAUCUGCGCUGUUGACAUGCCACAACUUUUUCAUUUUUUCAUUUUUUUUUUUUUUAAAUGUAAAGCUUUGUAACCAUUUGGUAGAAUAAGAAGAGGAAGAGGAAACAGAUAUAUUUGGAAAACCUUUGGUAUCAUUUCUCUUAGUUGUUUGCUUAGUGAUUGCAUUGCAAAGUACCACAGAGCCGGACUAAUACAUUGUCCACUAGUCAACAACGCGACGGCCAGCUAGAAGCUGAGGUAAGUACAGAGAGGUCUACACUUUGCUUUGGUUCAAGCAAGGCACUCGUCCCAUGGUUAUCUCAUACUUUGCAACAAAAGCGCUGUUUACGUCUUUGUUAAAGCAGCCCCAGUGGAAAAGUAAUAUAGCUGGCUGAAUAUAGGCCUUUAACCCUAUUAGUAAUAUAGGCCUUUAACCCUAUUAGUAAUAUAGGCCUUUAACCCUAUUAGUAAUAUAGGCCUUUAACCCUAUUAGUAAUAUAGGCAUAUAACCCUAUUAGUAAUAUAGGCAUAUAACCCUAUUAGUAAUAUAGGCCUUUAACCCUAUUAGUAAUAUAGGCAUAUAACCCUAUUAGUAAUAUAGGCAUAUAACCCUAUUAGUAAUAUAGGCCUUUAACCCUAUUAGUAAUAUAGGCCUUUAACCCUAUUAGUAAUAUAGGCCUAAAAGCCUAUUAGUAAUAUAGGCCUUUAACCCUAUUAGUAAUAUAGGCCUUUAACCCUAUUAGUAAUAUAGGCCUUUAACCCUAUUAGUAAUAUAGGCAUAUAACCCUAUUAGUAAUAUAGGCAUAUAACCCUAUUAGUAAUAUAGGCCUCUAACCCUAUUAGUAAUAUAGGCCUCUAACCCUAUUAGUAAUAUAGGCCUCUAACCCUAUUAGUAAUAUAGGCAUAUAACCCUAUUAGUAAUAUAGGCAUAUAACCCUAUUAGUAAUAUAGGCAUAUAACCCUAUUAGUAAUAUAGGCCUCUAACCCUAUUAGUAAUAUAGGCCUCUAACCCUAUUAGUAAUAUAGGCCUCUAACCCUAUUAGUAAUAUAGGCCUAAAAGCCUAUUAGUAAUAUAGGCCUCUAACCCUAUUAGUAAUAUAGGCCUAAAAGCCUAUCAUGUCAGCUCUAGAGAGAGAAUCCAUUGGAGUCAGUAUUGUCAUAUGGUUCCAGGAGUCUCACAUCAACUGUUGCCACUCCCAUAUCUUAAGUAUAUUUGCAUAAUGUAUUAUAUGCUAAUUUGUAUAGGCUACACAUAGAUGAAGGUGGUAACACGUGAUGAACUCCCGUACUUUCAUAGAUGACAAUGGUCCCAAGUUCCCACUAGAUUCAGCAUUAUUUCACUCUCUCUCUCAUUUCAACUCCAUAUUACCUUUCCAAACAGGAGCUAGAGAAUGAUUAGUAUAAUGAUGUGUUCGUAACCAAGUGGGAAGUGGGAAUUUCUCACAUGUAACUGGGAAAAAUCCCAUUGAAGACCCCUCCAACUGGUAAUUACUAGUGGGGAAACUCGUCCCUCCCACUUCUCUCGCAUGCUGACCUUUGACAUCACCUACUUUAUUUAACUAUGCAAGUCAGUUAAGAACAAAUUCUUAUUUACAAUGACGGUCUACACCGGCCAAACCCGGACGACGCUGGGACAAUUGUACGCCGCCCUUAUGGGACUCCCAAUCACAGCCGGUUGUGAUACAGCCUGGAUUCAAACCAGGGUGUCUUUAGUGAUGCCUCUUGCACUGAGAUGCAGUGCCUUAGACCGCUGCGCCACUCAGGAGCCUCAGUGGCUCCCUACUAAGAGAAUGGCCUCUAUAACAGCAUUUCCAGCAGUUAAAUGCAACAACAAAACAUUAUUUAUAAAAAGCUAUCUAUUCAUAUGGUUUGUGAACACUAUAAUUUGUUAACGAGCAUGAUAGCUGUACUUUUAGUUCAUGGUUAAGUAGCUUGUUGACCUUUAGCCAAUCUGCGUUUCUCAACGAGUUCAAAGCACGUGAAUUCAUCCUACUGGUAUUUAAUACUUCACAACUGGCAUAUUCCCACCUCCCACUUGGUUACGAACACAGAAUUAGUUCCAAGGAGUACACUACUGCUAUUAUAAUUAUUACAGCUGUUCUGUUCUUGUCUGAACCAGAAUGCAUCAGGGUUACAUUUUGGUAUGUGUCUUUCAGAGAGGCCUUUCACCAGUGCCUUUGGUUUCUUUGGUUUGGUUUGGUUAAAAUCACAACGUUGCACUGGAACAGUAGGCAGGGAGGAGGAUUGUGGCUUUUGAAGUCCAUUUACAGUAUAUUGUCCAUUGUUUUAUUUCCAUUAAGUCUGAUUGUUUAGGAGUGAUACUUGGGGGAUUGAGGGAAGCAUUUUCAAAUGUAUGGACUGUAGCCUUCUUUGCAAAGGCACUAGUAAAAACACAGCUACUAUAAUGGACACUGUGAUAAGAUGGACAUUGUGGUUUUUGGGCUAAUCAUUCUGACUCUCCUGUGUUUGUAGAUUUAUGAAAACGUUUUUUUCUUUUUUCCGGCACUGCUUGUUUGGCCGUUACAUAAAAAAUAAAAAUAAAAAAAACAAUGAUUAAACGUUCAUCCCUAGAUGUCUGGGAAUUAUAGUAGUAUGUAUAUAUAUAUAUAUAUAUAUACCUUCUUUAUAUAGAGUAUGUGGUUGUAUUUUAUCCAGCCAUACCUUCUUUAUAUAGAGUAUGUGGUUGUAUUUUAUCCAGCCAUACCUUCUUUAUAUAGAGUAUGUGGUUGUAUUUUAUCCAGCCAUACCUUCUUUAUAUAGAGUAUGUGGUUGUAUUUUAUCCAGCCAUACCUUCUUUAUAUAGAGUAUGUGGAUGUAUUUUAUCCAGCCUCUUUGUUGUCUCAAUGCUUCAGUGCAAAAACAGCGUUAACUUUGGGGUUUGUCACAACAACUCAAUGUGUGGUUUGGACACAAUGUGUACUGUGAUCUGGUGAAGGGCUUUCUGAAAGCCAGCAUUAAUCAUGUAUCCCUGACACACACCCUCACCCUCACCUUCCCUCACCCUCACCCUCACCUUCUCUAACCCUCACCUUCCCUAACCCUCACCCUCACCUUCCCUAACCCUCACCUUCCCUAACCCUCACCUUCCCUAACCCUCACCUUCUCUAACCCUCACCUUCUCUAAGCCUCAUCUUCCCUAACCCUCACCCUCACCUUCCCUAACCCUCACCUUCCCUAACCCUCACCCUCACCUUCCCUCACCCUCACCCUCACCUUCUCUAACCCUCACCUUCCCCCUUCGUCCCUAUUAUUUUAGGGGAGGAGAAGACAUGUGUUUGAGAGAACAAGAGAAAGGAGAGGGAAGGAGAAAGAGAGAGAGAGAGAUAAUAUCAAAAUGAAAGCAUGGGUCAAGCGCAGACCGUACUAGAGAAAACAAAUCUUUGGUAUCUUUGGUUUCAUCAACACGAUUAAAAUGACAAAUGGAAAGGUCAGUGAGGUAGCCUCUUUGGUUCUCACUAUAGAAAUAGAAAUAGUUUUUUUUUUUUUGAUUUUUUUUUUUACACAAGUCAUUCUUGGAAGCAGCUAGUUUAAGGGAAUCCUCUGUUUUCCGUUAUCAAGUGAAACAACGACCAACCUCUCAAAUGCUCCAGUUAUCUUUGGUGAGUCUGUCUCAUUCAACGUGCGACCCUCCUCUAUCAGUGGCACAAACAUCCGUCUGAAAUUCAUUGCUUGGUAAACAGAAUAAUGCAAAGGUCUCGCAAAUGAAACAAAUAAAUGAAUUAAUAAUAAAUCACAGAAGGGAAAAAAAAAAAACAAUGCAGUGCUCAUUCAUUAUCUUGUAAAAAUCAACAGAUUGUUUUCAUCAGGAAGAAUAAAGUUAAUGGAGAGAAAAAAAUUAUUCUGUAUAGGAAAAAGAUUUAACUAAAUGUGUUAUAAUAAUUAUAUAAUGGUGACAUUCAUCGUUACAACUACCCUGACAUUAUUUCAUUACAAAAAAAACAUUGUUCUGUCAUUAUUCACUAAACAAUUGAACACCCUCUUGUUGCUUUUUAAAGUAAAGCUUUUACUAAUAAUAAAUUAACGUGGGUAGGACAGAAGCACUGCAUCUUUGAUUCUCUAACUCUCUUAAAUACCCAUAAAUAUUCAUCCCCCCCCAAAAAAAUUACAUCUAAUUAAAUAACAGUAAAUAAUUAAGUAAAAAAACGAUCAUGUGUACUAACACACCUCAUAAAUAAAUAGUUUGACAGCAUCCUCAAAAGAAAACAGGACAAACAAUGUAAACUUUGGUAAACUUAUCAAGGUAAAGGAUUCCAAGUGAGAUUUGGCAAUUUUAAAUGAAUUCUCAAUUAAUUAAAACAAAUAUAAAUUACAUAAAUAAAAUCAUAUAUUACAUAAACCUAGGAAAGACAACAUAAUUGUACAUUAGGCAUUGGCAAACAAACAUAAAUACUAAAGACAAGCAAUGAAAACCUCUUUGGAUUUUAGUUUCAUACCCAUGUUUGGUACAUGUUCCUCAAGACCAGACUGAGUAUGAAAGUGGACUCCACCAGGCUCCGAGCCUCAAGACCAGGGCUAGGACCAGAACCAAGAGGGCUAGGACCAGGACCAAGAGGGCUAGGACCAGGACCAAGAGGGCUAGGACCAGGGCUAGGACCUGGACUAGGACCAGGACCAAGAGGGCUAGGGCCGUGGUGGAGCAUCUUUGUACUAGAAGCCUCACAGAGAGACAACUAGAAAAGGAUAAAGCUAUUUGACCGAUAUUUGAGCAGUUUCUCUCAACAGGUUGAACUACUAGUCUGUUUUGUAUUUUUGGUUUUGCUUAUUUUGAACGUGUGGAGUAGUAGAGUUUGUUUUCCCCAAAAAGUCAUACAGGAUGUGCCUAUGAGCACCCAACCCCUCUGUCCCCUACUGUACCCUCCUUCACUAACACGGACGCUGUGAUUCAGCAGUGGACUGGAGAGUGAGGUGAAUAGAUGAGAGAGAGAGAGAGAGAGAGAGAGAGAGAGAGACAGCUCUUUGUUAUCUUUGGUGUGUACUGUAGUUUCACAUAGUUUCACAGAAUCAUGUUUCUCUACAGACUGCAGUGACAGAUACAGCUGAAUCCUCCGGGCAUGAUGAUCCCUAGUGGACUGGACAGACGGAGAACCGAGGUAAUCAGUGUCCAGUGAAAGGGAGUGAUGGAGAGGAUGCAUCAUACCUACUGAAUCACACAGUGUCAUGUUGAAGAAGGAGCGUACCCUUAACAUCAUACAUACAUGUACUACUAUACAUGCAUGUACUGGGUAGCGCUAGCUAUACGGUAUGCAUGCAUGUAUACAUAUGUGGCUGUAUGUAUGGUCAACAUUGUCAGGAAAAUAAACUUUGGGGGAAAACUUCUGUAGGAAUAAUUAUGAAUCUUUGGUUUUGUAGCUGAUGAGGUUUUCGUUGUUCUUUUCCAUUUUUCUUGAAAAACUGCAUAGGCACACGUUAAAGACAACCUUCCAACUUUCAGAGACACGUCAUUCUGCCUUAGGAAACAACUGCCGCAGCGGCAUAGUUCCCACACGUGUUUUAAACCCUUUCAGUCUCAUCCUGCUUCCCCUUAAAAUGUCCUGACCAAUCAGAACAGAACAAAGCUACUUCUCCGUUCCCCCUGAUGUCUGUCCUCCUCCUCUUCCUCUUCAUCAUCAUCAUCAUCGCUGCUCACAUUUAUAAUUAUCUUCCUCUUUAGAACAGUUUUGUUGUAGAACAGUUAGGUGCAGAAAAAGUUUCUUUGGUUUUGAUUUGUCAAUAAAUAGAAAAAAGUCUCAAAUGUCCAUUUCUGGUCCGUCAAGCCUUUGGCUCACUUUUAUAUCACGAAAAAACCUGUGUACCACGGGACAAGGGGCUGCUUACCGGACUUUUUGCUUUGGUUGUUUGAUCGAUGGCUGAUAGAAGGAUAGACGAGUUUGACAUGAUUGAACUCUAAAGAUCUUAUGUAUGGGGUUGACUUGAAAAGUAGCAGGUUGUAUAUAUUUACAGAAUGUGUAAUAUAAUGAAUGGUUGCUACUGUGUUGAGUGGAGUCCUCAACACAGGCAUGUGUAUAUAAUCAUCAUUGGUGUACCAUACAGAUGGAGUAUCAGCACAGCAGUUAAGAAGCAGACUCUGGGGUCUGCGUCCCAAAUUGCACCCUAUUCCCUACACAGUGCACUAAAAGUAAUACACUAUAUAGGGAAUAAGGUGCCAUUUGGGGCACAGACACACUCUUCCUGGUUUGUUUCUUGGUCUGUUUCUUUCUUAGCCUGGUGCCCAGGGUGUUGCCUCUACAAGACUAGUAGAGUCCAGUGGAGACUAGUAGAGGCUAGUGGAGGUUAGUGGAGACUAGUGGAGACUAGUGGAGGUUAGUGGAGGCUAGUGGAGGCUAGUGGAGACUAGUUGAGGUUAGUGGAGACUAGUGGAGACUAGUGGAGGUUAGUGGAGACUAGUGGAGACUUGUGGAGACUAGUAGAGGAUGGUGGAGGUUAGUGGAGACUAGUGGAGACUAGUGGAGGUUAGUGGAGACUAGUGGAGACUAGUGGAGGUUAGUGGAGACUAGUGGAGACUAGUGGAUGCUAGUGGAGGUUAGUGGAGAUUGUGGAGACUAGUGGAGGUUAGUGGAGACUAGUGGAGGUUAGUGGAUGCUAGUGGAGGUUAGUGGAGACUAGUGGAGAUUAGUGGAGGCUAGUGGAGACUAGUGGAGGUUAGUGGAGACUAGUGAGGUUAGUGGAGACUAGUGAAGGCUAAUGGAGACUAGUGGAGACUAGUGGAGACUAGUGGAGGUUAGUGGAGGUUAGUGGAUACUAGUGGAGGUUAGUGGAGACUAGUGGAGGUUAGUGGAGACUAGUGGAGGUUAGUGGAGGUUAGUGGAGACUAGUGGAGGUUAGUGGAGAAUAGUGGAGGUUAGUGGAGACUAAUGAAGGUUAGUGGAGUAUAGUGGAGGCUAGUGGAGACUAGUGGAGACUAGUGGAGGUUAGUGGAGACUAGUGGAGGUUAGUGGAGACUAGUGGAGGUUAGUGGAGACUAAUGAAGGUUAGUGGAGUAUAGUGGAGGCUAGUGGAGCCUAGUGGAGGUUAGGGGAGGUUAGUGGAGACUAGUGGAGAUUAGUGGAGACUAGUGGAGAUUAGUGGAGACUAGUGGAGGUAAGUGGAGACUAGUAGAGGUUAUUGCAGCUGAUUGAUAUUGUCAUUAAAAUAGAAUUGAUGGUUACUAUGUUAAGAUAAACCAUGUUAAGCCAGGGUAGAAUAAUAACUUUAGUCUUACCAG
rnacentral:lncRNA from 1 species